UACGAAGGGGGCUAGCGUUGCUCGGAAUCACUGGGCGUAAAGGGUGCGUAGGCGGGUCUUUAAGUCAGGGGUGAAAUCCUGGAGCUCAACUCCAGAACUGCCUUUGAUACUGAGGAUCUUGAGUUCGGGAGAGGUGAGUGGAACUGCGGAGUGUAGAGGUGAAAUUCGUAGAUAUUCGCAAGAACACCAGUGGCGAAGGCGGCUCACUGGCCCGAUACUGACGCUGAGGCACGAAACGCGUGGGGAGCAAACAGG
rnacentral:rRNA from 1 species